GCUUAACCGGAGAAGUGCAUCGGAAACUGGAUAACUUGAGUGCAGAAGAGGGUAGUGGAACUCCAUGUGUAGCGGUGGAAUGCGUAGAUAUAUGGAAGAACACCAGUGGCGAAGGCGGCUACCUGGUCUGCAACUGACGCUGAGACUCGAAAGCAUGGGUAGCGAACAGGAUUAGAUACCCUGGUAGUCCAUGCCGUAAACGAUGAGUGCUAGGUGUUGGAGGGUUUCCGCCCUUCAGUGCCGGAGCUAACGCAUUAAGCACUCCGCCUGGGGAGUACGACCGCAAGGUUGAAACUCAAAGGAAUUGACGGGGGCCCGCACAAGCGGUGGAGCAUGUGGUUUAAUUCGAAGCUACGCGAAGAACCUUACCAGGUCUUGACAUCUUGCGCCAACCCUAGAGAUAGGGCGUUUCCUUCGGGAACGCAAUGACAGGUGGUGCAUGGUCGUCGUCGGCUCGUGUCGUGAGAUGUUGGGUUAAGUCCCGCAACGAGCGCAACCCUUGCUACUAGUUGCCAGCAUUAAGUUGGGCACUCUAGUGAGACUGCCGGUGACAAACCGGAGGAAGGUGGGGACGACGUCAGAUCAUCAUGCCCCUUAUGACCUGGGCUACACACGUGCUACAAUGGACGGUACAACG
rnacentral:rRNA from 1 species